rnacentral:rRNA from 1 species
UCGGGCGGAUGGUGCAGAUUCGUCUGUUACUGUCUGCCCGGACGAUUUUGUUGGUUUGUUCGUGGUUCUCUUAACCGGGUGCCACGGGUGGCCGACACGUUUACUUUGAAAAAAUUGGAGUGCUCAAAGCAGCGCUACAGCCUGAACAUUCGUGCAUGGAAUAAUGGGAAUAGGAUUUUGAUUCUAUUUCGUUGGCUUUUGGAGUCAAAAUAAUGAUUAUAGAACAGACGGGGGCAUUCGUACUGCGACGUUAGAGGUGAAAUUCUUGGAUCGUCGCAAGACGAACUACUGCGAAAGCAUUUGCCCAAGAAUGUUUUCAUUAAUCAAGAACGAAGGUCAGAGGUUCGAAGGCGAUCAGAUACCGCCCUAGUUCUGACUGUCAACUAUGUCAAUUGGCGAUCCGUCGUCGUUACUUGAAUGACUCGGCGGGCAGCCUCCGGGAAACCUAAAUCUUUGGGUUCCGGGGGAAGUAUGGUUGCAAAGCUGAAACUUAAAGGAAUUGACGGAAGGGCACCACCAGGAGUGGAGCCUGCGGCUUAAUUUGACUCAACACGGGAAAACUCACCAGGCCCGGACACCGGAAGGAUUGACAGAUUGAAAGCUCUUUCUUGAUUCGGUGGGUGGUGGUGCAUGGCCGUUCUUAGUUGGUGGAGCGAUUUGUCUGGUUAAUUCCGAUAACGAACGAGACUCUGGCCUACUAAAUAGACAUUGGAUCAUUUAUGGUCCUUUGCAGCUUCUUAGAGGGACGGGCGG